rnacentral:tRNA from 1 species
GGUUGUAACUCAGUGGUAGAGCACUUGCCUAAAGUGCGAGGCCCCGGGUUCGAUCCUCAGCACCA